CUUCCUCUCGUACCUUUUGCAUCAUGACUUACCCAGACCCCCCCAAGCAAAAAGAUUUUUAGUUUGCCCACCCGAAACUAAUGUGAGCUACUCCAAGACAGCCUAAACUAAUUAGGGCAUACCCGUCUCUGUGGCAAUAGAGUGGGAAGAGCUUCGAGUAGAGGUGAAAAACCAAUACGAACUUAGUUAUAGCUGGUUACCUGAUAACUGAAUAAAAGUUCAGCUCCUUAAAUUCUUCCUAAAUUAAGGCAGUUAUUCAAAGGGGGUACAGCCCCUUUGAAACAAGAACCAACUUCCUCAGGAGGGUAAAGAUCAUAACUACCCCAAGGUAUAAUGCCACAGUGGGCCUGAAAGCAGCCACCUCAACAGAAAGCGUUAAAGCUCAAGUAUUAAAUCCCGAUAACUCCAUCUUAACCCCCUAACCCCCACCAGGUUAUUCCAUGCACCCAUGGAAGAAAUAAUGCUAACAUAAGUAAUAAGAGAUGACUCUCUCCUAAACAUAAGUGUACAUCGGAACGGACCCACCACCGAACUUUAACGGCCCCAUUAAAGAGGGUAAUGAACAUGAACUAGGAAACCAUACACCGUUAACCUUACACAAGUGUGUUCCUAAGGAAAGACUAAAAGAAAAAGAAGGAACUCGGCAAACAAGCCUCGCCUGUUUACCAAAAACAUCGCCUCUUGUUAAAAUAAGAGGUCCUGCCUGCCCAGUGACCAUGUGUUAAACGGCCGCGGUAUCCUAACCGUGCAAAGGUAGCGUAAUCACUUGUCUUUUAAAUGGAGACCCGUAUGAAUGGCAAAACGAGGGCCUAACUGUCUCCUUUUUCCAGUCAAUGAAAUUGAUUUCCCCGUGCAGAAGCGGGGAUACAACCAUAAGACGAGAAGACCCUGUGGAGCUUCAGACACCAGAGCAGGCCGAGUCAAUAAAACUCCAUUAAAAGAACUAAACUUAUCGACCCCCUUCUCCCCGUCUUAGGUUGGGGCGACCACGGGGAAACAAAAAACCCCCAUGUGGAAAGAGAACAUUCCCACAAAUAAGAACCGCAGCUCUAAUUAACAGAAACUUCUGACCAAUUAAGAUCCGGCAACGCCGAUUAACGAACCAAGUUACCCCAGGGAUAACAGCGCAAUCCCCUCCAAGAGCCCAUAUCGACAAG
rnacentral:rRNA from 1 species